rnacentral:rRNA from 1 species
GACGAACGCUGGCGGCGUGCUUAACACAUGCAAGUCGAACGGAAAGGCCCUGCUUUUGUGGGGUGCUCGAGUGGCGAACGGGUGAGUAACACGUGAGUAACCUGCCCUUGACUUUGGGAUAACUUCAGGAAACUGGGGCUAAUACCGGAUAGGAGCUCCUGCUGCAUGGUGGUGGUUGGAAAGUUUCGGCGGUUGGGGAUGGACUCGCGGCUUAUCAGCUUGUUUGUGGGGUAGUGGCUUACCAAGGCUUUGACGGGUAGCCGGCCUGAGAGGGUGACCGGCCACAUUGGGACUGAGAGACGGACCAGAAUCGUACGGGAGGCAGAAGUGGGGAAUAUUGCACAGUGGGCGGAAGCCUGAUGCAGAAACGCCGCGUGCGGGAUGACGGCCUUCGGGUUGUAAACCGAUUUCGCCUGUGACGAAGCGUGAGUGACGGUAAUGGGUAAGGAAGCACCGGCUAACUACGUG